rnacentral:rRNA from 1 species
UACGGGGGGAGCAAGCGUUGUUCGGAUUUACUGGGCGUAAAGGGCGCGUAGGCGGCCACUGCAAGUCAGUUGUGAAAUCUCCGGGCUUAACCCGGAAAGGUCAACUGAUACUGCAGGGCUAGAGUGCAGAAGGGGCAACUGGAAUUCUCGGUGUAGCGGUGAAAUGCGCAGAUAUCGGGAGGAACACCUAUGGCGAAGGCAGCUCGCUGGGACGUUACUGACGCUGAGACGCGAAAGCGUGGGGAGCAAACAGG